rnacentral:rRNA from 1 species
ACUAAUAAUCCGAAGCUUUCUCAUAGCAGGUAAUGAAUGGUGGUACGUAGCAAUACGUAUCACCGAACAAAACAAAGCUGUUGUUUUCUCUCUAAGUUACUUCUUUCAAUUAUGUUUAAGUUUGUUGGUUCAUUAGUUCACUGGUAUCAUUGGUUCAUUUGUAGCUAAGGGAUAUACAACUAAGGAACAGCAAACAAAAUAAAAAUAUUAGGUCAUGGAUACCUUUUCAUCAUGCUCAUACCAAUGAACCAAUGAACAAGUAAACCAAUGAACCAAAAAUAUUCAGGUGCCUAUAUCGGCGGUGUCCACCUCUUCCCAUUCCGAACAGAGAAGUUAAGCCCGCCAGAGCCGAUGGUACUGCAGUAAAAUGUGGGAGAGUAGGUCGGUGCCCAAU